GCAGGCUUAACACAUGCAAGUCGAACGCCCCGCAAGGGGAGUGGCAGACGGGUGAGGAACACGUGGGAACGUACCCUUUGGUUCGGAACAACCCUGGGAAACUAGGGCUAAUACCGGAUACGAGCGAGAGCUGAAAGGUUUACCGCCGAAGGAUCGGCCCGCGUCUGAUUAGCUAGUUGGUGAGGUAAUGGCUCACCAAGGCGACGAUCAGUAGCUGGUCUGAGAGGAUGAUCAGCCACAUUGGGACUGAGACACGGCCCAAACUCCUACGGGAGGCAGCAGUGGGGAAUAUUGGACAAUGGGCGCAAGCCUGAUCCAGCCAUGCCGCGUGAGUGAUGACGGCCCUAGGGUUGUAAAGCUCUUUUACCCGGGAAGAUAAUGACGGUACCGGGAGAAUAAGCCCCGGCUAACUUCGUGCCAGCAGCCGCGGUAAUACGAAGGGGGCUAGCGUUGUUCGGAUUUACUGGGCGUAAAGCGCACGUAGGCGGACGCUUAAGUCAGGGGUGAAAUCCCGAGGCUCAACCUCGGAACUGCCUUUGAUACUGGGUGUCUUGAGUCCGGAAGAGGUGAGU
rnacentral:rRNA from 1 species